UUUCCCCCUUUGAUUCUUCUCUAACGCCGGCCUGAUUUUGCUAUUCCAACUCCGAAAUUAGGGUUUCUAGUGGUUCAAUUACGAUUUCGUAUUUUGUUGGGUUUGAUCGUCUUUUGUAUUCGUUGAUACAAUGAAGUUUGGUCGAGUGUGGUUGGAAAGAUGAGAUGAAAGUUCUCCUGACCCACUUCUUAAAAAUCUCAACUUUUUCCUUCUUUCCUCUGAUUUGUUUACUCUCGUCGUUGUUCUUGUUGGUUUGAUAAACACAGCAAUACAUACUCAUUGUGAGCAAAAGAGACAAAAGUGAAAAGACUUUUUUUUUUUUCGAAUCUUCUUUAAGUAUCACAGAUUUUUUGUUUCCUUCAUUGUCGUCUCGGUGCUGCCUACAUUUUGUUUGUUAACGCUUACACAAUUUUGAAUUUGGUACCAUUCUAAUCAUUUCUGAGUUUUUUGUUUUUGUUUUUUUUUGGCUGAAUCAUUUGAUUUGUCUGUAUUACUCCUGUUGUAGACUGUUAAUGUUACUGUCCAAAGUUGGUGUAGUUGUUAAAGCUUCUUAGUUUGCCUAUAAGUUUAGUGAAGAGGCAUCAUUGAUUCUAAGAGUUUCCUCUGAAGUCUCAGUUAUGUUUUGAGGUUUAAGAGUUUCGAAAUUGGUUAAUUGUUGUUGUUGUUGUUGAUGAUGCAAAGCUAAGAUUUUUCAGCUUUUUCUUUUGUACUGUUAACUGAACUGGAUUCGAACAAGUGAACUAUCUUGUGAUUGAUUUGCAUCACAAGAUACUUGCAUUGAUUUGGGCAACGCUAUGGUGAUUUGGCUUCUCUAGCUUGUGAUGUGCUCAGUAUUCCAAUCACCACAGUAGCAGCAGAGUCAUCGUUUAGCAUUGGAGGUCGGGUACUGACUCCUUACCGGAACCGUCUUCUUCCAAGAAAUGUUCAAGCCUUGUUAUGUACUAGAAACUGGUUACAUGGUUAUGCUGAGUUAGAAGUGACAUUAAAGACAACUUUGAUGAUGAGGUUGAAGGUACCACAUAUGUGACUAGUAGCUCAGGAGUAUGAGACCAAGAUUCUGAUCAGGUUUUGGAAGAACCAUAGGAGGAAGAAUGAGAAAUUUUUUUUGUUGUUGUUGUUUUUGUGACUUUGAUUUUGGUUUUUAUAUUUAUCUAGGUUAACAAAACUC